CGGGUGAGUAAUGCUUAGGAAUCUGCCUAGUAGUGGGGGAUAGCCCGGGGAAACCCGGAUUAAUACCGCAUACGUCCUACGGGAGAAAGCAGGGGAUCUUCGGACCUUGCGCUAUUAGAUGAGCCUAAGUCGGAUUAGCUAGUUGGUGGGGUAAGAGCCUACCAAGGCGACGAUCCGUAGCUGGUCUGAGAGGAUGAUCAGCCACAUCGGGACUGAGACACGGCCCGAACUCCUACGGGAGGCAGCAGUGGGGAAUAUUGGACAAUGGGGGCAACCCUGAUCCAGCCAUGCCGCGUGUGUGAAGAAGGCUUUCGGGUUGUAAAGCACUUUCAGUGAGGAGGAAAAGUUGGUCGCUAAUAUCGGCCAGCCUUGACGUUACUCACAGAAGAAGCACCGGCUAACUCCGUGCCAGCAGCCGCGGUAAUACGGAGGGUGCAAGCGUUAAUCGGAAUUACUGGGCGUAAAGCGCGCGUAGGUGGUUUGUUAAGCGAGAUGUGAAAGCCCCGGGCUUAACCUGGGAACGGCAUUUCGAACUGGCAAGCUAGAGUGUGGUAGAGGGUAGUGGAAUUUCCU
rnacentral:rRNA from 1 species